rnacentral:rRNA from 1 species
CAGUAGCCACGGUAAUACAGAGGGUGCGAGCGUUAAUCGGAUUUACUGGGCGUAAAGCGUGCGUAGGCGGCUUCUUAAGUCGGAUGUGAAAUCCCUGAGCUUAACUUAGGAAUUGCAUUCGAUACUGGGAAGCUAAAGUAUGGGAGAGGAUGGUAGAAUUCCAGGUGUAGCGGUGAAAUGCGUAGAGAUCUGGAGGAAUACCGAUGGCGAAGGCAGCCAUCUGGCCUAAUACUGACGCUGAGGUACGAAAGCAUGGGGAGCAAACAGGAUUAGAUACCCCCGUAGUCCCUGUCUCUUAUAC